rnacentral:misc_RNA from 1 species
GAGAGUAGGUUAUUGCCAGGGUUUUUUAUUUUAUACUUCAAAUCUUGAAUUUAUUUUUUAUGUUUUUUAAAUGUUUAUUUUUUUGAAUGUUUGAUUUAAAAAAAUAAACAUUUAAAAAACAUAAAAAAUAAAAUAGAUAUUGACAUGGAUUAAACAAAGAUAUAUAUUAUUCUAUGUUGCAUAAACAAAUUGGCAAAGUAGAGAUGGAAGAUAAAAAUAUGGUCAAAGUAAUAAGAGUCUAUGGU